UACGAAGGGGGCUAGCGUUGUUCGGAAUCACUGGGCGUAAAGGGCGCGUAGGCGGCUUUAUAAGUCGGGGGUGAAAGCCUGUGGCUCAACCACAGAGUUGCCUUCGAUACUGUAGAGCUUGAGACCGGAAGAGGUAAGUGGAACUGCGAGUGUAGAGGUGAAAUUCGUAGAUAUUCGCAAGAACACCAGUGGCGAAGGCGGCUACUGGCC
rnacentral:rRNA from 1 species